AUUGAACGCUGGCGGCAGGCCUAACACAUGCAAGUCGAGCGGAUGAAGGGAGCUUGCUCCUGGAUUCAGCGGCGGACGGGUGAGUAAUGCCUAGGAAUCUGCCUGGUAGUGGGGGAUAACGUCCGGAAACGGGCGCUAAUAACGCAUACGUCCUGAGGGAGAAAGUGGGGGAUCUUCGGACAUUACGCUAUCAGAUGAGCCUAGGUCGGAUUAGCUAGCUGGUGGGGUAAAGGCCUACUAAGGCGACGAUCCGUAACUGGUCUGAGAGGAUGAUCAGUCACACUGGAACUGAGACACGGUCCAGACUCCUACGGGAGGCAGCAGUGGGGAAUAUUGGACAAUGGGCGAAAACCUGAUCCAGCCAUGCCGCGUGUGUGAAGAAGGUCUUCUGAUUGUAAAGCACUUUAAGUUGGGAGAAAGGGCAGUAGGUUAAUACCUUGCUGUUUUGACGUUACCAACAGAAUAAGCACCGGCUAACUUCGUG
rnacentral:rRNA from 1 species